rnacentral:rRNA from 1 species
UACGGAGGGAGCUAGCGUUGUUCGGAAUUACUGGGCGUAAAGCGCGCGUAGUCGGCUUUGUAAGUUAGAGGUGAAAGCCCGGGGCUCAACCCCGGAAUUGCCUUUAAGACUGCAUCGCUUGAAUCCGGGAGAGGUGAGUGGAAUUCCGAGUGUAGAGGUGAAAUUCGUAGAUAUUGGGAAGAACACCGGUGGCGAAGGCGGCUCACUGGCUCAUUACUGACGCUCAGGCGCGAUAGCGUGGGGAUCAAACAGG